GCUGAUUACGGGGUAGCAAUAUUCUGUAGUUGGAGCGGCGCAAGGGUGCGUAACACGUGGGUAAUCUGCCAUGAAGUUUGGAAUAACUUGCUGAAAGGCGAGCUAAUACCGGAUGUGACAAUUAGGAGGCAUCUUCCGAUUGUCAAAGCUGGGGACCGUAAGGCCUGGCGCUUCAUGAUGAGCCCGCGGCCUAUCAGCUAGUUGGUGAGGUAACGGCUCACCAAGGCUAAGACGGGUAGCUGGUCUGAGAGGACGACCAGCCACACUGGAACUGAGACACGGUCCAGACACCUACGGGUGGCAGCAGUCGAGAAUUUUUCACAAUGGGCGCAAGCCUGAUGGAGCGACGCCGCGUGGGGGAUGAAUGGCUUCGGCCCGUAAACCCCUGUCAUUUGCGAACAAAUUGGUUCAAUUAACACCUGAACCAUUGAUAGUAGCGAAAGAGGAAGGGACGGCUAACUCUGUGCCAGCAGCCGCGGUAAUACAGAGGUCCCAAGCGUUGUUCGGAUUCACUGGGCGUAAAGGGUGCGUAGGUGGUGAGGUAAGUCGGAUGUGAAAGCUCGGAGCUCAACUCCGAAAUGGCAUUGGAAACUACCUUGCUAGAGGGUUGGAGGGGGGACUGGAAUGCUUGGUGUAGCAGUGAAAUGCGUAGAUAUCAAGCGGAACACCAGUGGCGAAGGCGAGUCCCUGGACAACUCCUGACACUGAGGCACGAAAGCUAGGGGAGCAAACAGGAUUAGAUACCCUGGUAGUCCUAGCCGUAAACGGUGCACGUUUGCUGUAAAAGGAAUCGACCCCUUUUGUGGCGUAGCCAACGCGUUAAACGUGCCGCCUGGGAAGUACGGGCGCCAGAUUAAACUCAAAG
rnacentral:rRNA from 1 species